rnacentral:rRNA from 1 species
ACAUGCAAGUCGAACGGUAAGUGUUAUAGCAAUAUGACACCAAGUAGUGACGCACGGGUGCGUAACACGUAUGCAACCUACCCUUUACAGGCGGAUAGCUCGGGGAAACUCGAAUUAACCCGCCAUAAUAUAAUUGAAUGGCAUCAUUUGAUUAUUAAAUCUGCGGAGGUAAAGGAUGGGCAUGCGUCUGAUUAGUUAGUUGGUAGUGUAACGGACUACCAAGACGAUGAUCAGUAGGGGAACUGAGAGGUUGAUCCCCCACACUGGCACUGAGAUACGGGCCAGACUCCUACGGGAGGCAGCAGUGGGGAAUAUUGGUCAAUGGGUGAGAGCCUGAACCAGCCAUGCCGCGUGCAGGAAGAAGGCCUUCUGGGUUGUAAACUGCUUUUGCCAGGGGGAUAAAAAUACCUUGCGAGGUAAAUUGAAGGUACCUGGUGAAUAAGCCACGGCUAACUACGUGCCAGCAGCCGCGGUAAUACGUAGGUGGCAAGCGUUGUCCGGA